AAGAGCAAACAACUCCUAAAGUUAGCAGAAGAAAAGGAAUAGGGAUAAAAUCAGAGCAGAACUAAAUGAAAUUGAGACCCCAAAAUCAAUACAAAGAAUUAAUAAAACCAGGUGCUGGAGUUGUUGCCACAAGUCCGGAUUUCACUGCUGUGCACCCCUGAUGCCUGCCUGAUGUGCAUUCCCAAUUCCUUUUGGUUCCAAGUCCAAUAUGGCAACUCUCAAGGAUCAGCUGAUUCAUAAUCUUCUAAAGGAAGAACGGACCCCCCAGAAUAAGAUUACAGCUGUUGGGGUUGGCACAUCCCAACCUGUGCCAUGCCAACAAGUCCUUGAAGGACUUGGCAGAUGAACUUGUUCUUGUUGAUGCCAUGGAAGAUAAAUUGAAGGGAGAGAUGAUGGAUCUCCAACAUGGCAGCCUUUUCCUUAGAACACCAAAGAUUGUCUCUGGGAAGGACUAUAAUGUAACUGCAAACUCCAAGCUGGUCAUUGGACUAGAGCACAUCAGCAAGAGGGAGAAAGCCAUCUUAAUUUGGUCUAGCAUAAUGUGAACAUCUUUAAUUUCAUCAUUCUUAAUGCAAAAUACAGUCUGAACAGCAAGUUGCUUUAUUGUUUCAAAUCCGGUAGAUAUCUUGACCUAUGUGGCUUGGAAGAUAAGUGGCUUUCCCAACAACAGUGUUAUUGGAAGUGGUUGCAAUCUGGAUUCAGUCCAAUUCCAUUACCUGAUGGGGAAAGGCUGGGAGUUCACCCAUUAAGCUGUCAUGGGUGGGUCCUUGGGGAACAUGGAGAUUCUAGUGUGCCUGUAUGGAGUGGAGUGAACGUUGCUGGUGUCUCCCUGAAGACUCUGUAUCCUGAUUUAGGGACUCAUACAGACAAGGAACAGUGGAAAGAGGUUCACAAGUAGGUGGUUGAGACUGCUUACAAGGUGAUCAAACUCAAAUGCUAUAUACAUCCUGGGCCACUGGACUCUGUGGCAGAUUUGGCAGAGAGUAUAAUGAAGAAUCUUAGGGGGGUGCACCCAAUUUCUGCUAUGAUUAAGGGUCUCUAUGGAAUAAAGGAUGAUGUCUUCCUUAGUGUUCCUUGCAUUUUAGGACAGAAAGGAAUCUCAGACCUUGUGAUAGUGACUCACUCCUGAGGAAGAGGCCUGUUUGAAGAAGAGUGCAGAUACCCUUUGCGAGAUCCAAGGAGAGCUGCGAUUUUAAAGUCUUCUGAUGUCAUAUCAUUUCACUGUCUAGGCUACAACAGGAUUUUAGUUGGAGGUUGUGCAUGUUGUCUUUUUUAUCUGAUCUGUGAUUAAAGCAGCAAUAUUUUAAGAUGGACUGGGAAAAA